UCCCUGGUGGCUGAGAGGUUAAAGCGUCUGCCUGCAAUGCAGGAGACCCAGGUUCGAUCCCUGGAUCGGGAA
rnacentral:tRNA from 1 species